rnacentral:rRNA from 1 species
UACGUAGGGUGCAAGCGUUGUCCGGAAUUAUUGGGCGUAAAGAGCUCGUAGGCGGUUUGUUGCGUCGGCUGUGAAAUCCCGAGGCUCAACCUCGGGUCUGCAGUCGAUACGAGCAAACUAGAGUGUUGCAGGGGGGACUGGAAUUCCUGGUGUAGCGGUGAAAUGCGCAGAUAUCAGGAGGAACACCGGUGGCGAAGGCGGUUCGCUGGGAAUGACCUGACGCUGAGGAGCGAAAGUGUGGGGAGCGAACAGG